GCUAAAUCUCUAGCCCGCACCCACCACCAAACUCUUAACCCCAAUAAACAAAACAUUUGACACGACUAGUAUAGGCGAUCGAACAUCAAUACAAGGAGCAAAAGAUAUAGUACCGCAAGGGAAACAUGAAAAAACAAUGAAAUACUAAAGCUAAACAAAGCAAGGAUUAACCCCUGUACCUAUUGCAUCACGGUCUAUCAAGAACUAUACAGACACGGAGUCCCAGCCUGUACCCCCGAAAUCAAGUGAGCUACCCUAGAGCAGUCUGUAGGACUCACCCGUCCCUGUAGCAAAAGGGUGGGAAGACUCCAGGGUAGUGGUGAAAAGCCUACCGAACUUGUUGAUAGCUGGUUGCCUGAGUAAAGAAUAUAAGUUCAGCCUUAAAUUUCUCAAACACACUAUAGUAGAAACUUAAUUUAAGACUUAAUCAAUGGGGGUACAGCCCCAUUGAACCGGGACACAACCCGAAGUAAAGAGCCAAUUUAUUACUACACACCAGUAGGCCUUAAAGCAGCCAUCAAAACAUUGCGUCACAGCAUACACCAAAAAAUACCACACACUUAAACAACCUCUUACAACCACAUCAGUGCUAAUCUAUAGGAAUAUAGAAGAACUAAUGCUAGAACUAGUAACAAGAACCUAUCUCUACGCACAACUGUAAAUCAGUCACAGAAAGUCUACUGAAAAUUAACAACCUAGUGCACAUCUUAACAAGCAUUAACCACUACUGUUAAUCCGACACAGGGGUGCUAAAAAGAAAGAUUAAUAGUUAAAGAAGGAACUCGGCAAACCAUCAUCCCAACUGUUUACCAAAAACACAGCCUUUAGCCCCACAAGUAUUAAAGGUGUUGCCUGCCCAGUGAAGCACUUUUAACGGCCGCGGUAUCCUAACCGUGCAAAGGUAGCGUAAUCACUUGUCCCUUAAAUAGGGACCAGUAUGAAUGGCUAAAUGAGGAUAAAUCUGUCUCCUUUAACAAAUCAGUGAAACUGAUCCGCCAGUACAAAAGCUGGUAUACCCCCAUAAGACGAGAAGACCCUGUGGAGCUUUAAAUUUAAGCCAAACAACUAAAACAUAAGUCUAGUUAUGGUUAAAAAUUUUAAGUUGGGGCGACUUCGGAAAAAAGCUAAACUUCCGAGCAUAGACUAAGUCUUACCAAGACCUACAAGUCAAGUCUAAAAUUGACCCAGUACCACUGACAACCGAACCAAGUUACCCCAGGGAUAACAGCGCAAUCUUCUUCAAGAGUCCCUAUCGACAAGAAGGUUUACGACCUCGAUGUUGGAUCAGGACACCCAAAUGGUGAAGCCGCUAUUAAAGGUUCGUUUGUUCAACGAUUAAUAGUCCUACGUGAUCUGAGUUCAGACCGGAGUAAUCCAGGUCGGUUUCUAUCUAUGUAGUUGUUUUCUUCAGUACGAAAGGACCGAGAAAACAGGACCAAUGCUAACAGCAUGUCCUUACACAGGGCUGAACACAACUAAAGCCAAACAAUAACACAGGCCUACUUAACCCGUAGAUAAACGGGCUUA
rnacentral:rRNA from 1 species